rfam:Asian citrus Psyllid, Diaphorina citri - Florida Strain, whole genome shotgun sequence.
GCUCCCAUGGCGUAGUGGUCACUGCGCUCGCCUUGCACGCCGGAGACCCGGGUUCGAUUCCCGGCGGGGUCA